rnacentral:rRNA from 1 species
GAUGAACGCUGGCGGCGUGCCUAAUACAUGCAAGUCGAGCGAACGGACGAGAAGCUUGCUUCUCUGAUGUUAGCGGCGGACGGGUGAGUAACACGUGGAUAACCUACCUAUAAGACUGGGAUAACUUCGGGAAACCGGAGCUAAUACCGGAUGAUAUUUUGAACCGCAUGGUUCAAAAGUGAAAGACGGUCUUGCUGUCACUUAUAGAUGGAUCCGCGCUGCAUUAGCUAGUUGGUAAGGUAACGGCUUACCAAGGCAACGAUGCAUAGCCGACCUGAGAGGGGGGGCGAAAAAAAGGGACCGAAACAAGGGCCAGAACUCAAAGGGGGGGAGAAGGGGGGAAGUCUUCCGAAAUGGGGAAAGGCCAGAAGGAGAAAAGCGGGGUGAGUAAGGAGGGUUUGGGGAACAAAAACCUUUUUUAUAGGGAAAAAAAAGAUGUGAAAGAAACGGUGAAAGUCUGGAGGGAACAAAACAAAAAGACCACGAAAAACACGGGG